CCUACGGGGUGCUGCAGUGGGGAAUAUUGGACAAUGGGCGAAAGCCUGAUCCAGCCAUGCCGCGUGUGUGAAGAAGGCCUUCGGGUUGUAAAGCACUUUCAGUGGGGAAGAAAGCCUUGGGGCUAAUACCCUCGAGGAAGGACAUCACCCACAGAAGAAGCACCGGCUAACUCCGUGCCAGCAGCCGCGGUAAUACGGAGGGUGCGAGCGUUAAUCGGAAUUACUGGGCGUAAAGCGCGCGUAGGCGGUCUGAUAAGCCGGUUGUGAAAGCCCCGGGCUCAACCUGGGAACGGCAUCCGGAACUGUCAGGCUAGAGUGCAGGAGAGGAAGGUAGAAUCCCCGGUGUAGCGGUGAAAUGCGUAGAGAUCGGGAGGAAUACCAGUGGCGAAGGCGGCCUUCUGGACUGACACUGACGCUGAGGUGCGAAAGCGUGGGUAGCAAACAGGAUUAGAUACCCGGGUAGUC
rnacentral:rRNA from 1 species